rnacentral:rRNA from 1 species
AUGGGAACGCGAAGAACCUUACCUAGACUUGACAUCUCCUGAAUAGUGUAGAGAUACAUGAAGCCCUUCGGGGCAGGAAGACAGGUGGUGCAUGGUUGUCGUCAGCUCGUGUCGUGAGAUGUUGGGUUAAGUCCCGCAACGAGCGCAACCCUUAUCAUUAGUUGCUAACAUUCAGUUGAGCACUCUAGUGAGACUGCCCGGGUUAACCGGGAGGAAGGCGGGGAUGACGUCAAAUCAUCAUGCCCCUUAUGUCUGGGGCUACACACGUGCUACAAUGGUGGGAACAAAGAGAUGCAAUACCGCAAGGUGGAGCUAAACUCAAAACCCCAUCCCAGUUCGGAUUGUAGGCUGAAACUCGCCUACAUGAAGCUGGAGUUGCUAGUAAUCGCGAAUCAGAAUGUCGCGGUGAAUACGUUCCCGGGUCUUGUACACACCG